AUGAUGCUACCAAAGUCUAAAGGGGGUAUGGGCUUUCGGGAUAUGUGUGCUUUUAACCAAGCUUUGUUAGCAAAACAGGCUUGGCGCUUGUUAGAUAAUCCAGAGAGCUUAUGUGCAUGAUUGAUCAAAGCAAAAUAUUUUCCUCAUGGGAAAUUGUGGGACACAGUGCUCAGUGGCAAUGCUUCGGCUGUGUGGAAAGGUAUUGAGUACGGACUUGAUCUCGUCAAAAAAGGGAUCAUAUGGAGGUAG
rnacentral:rRNA from 1 species